GGGACAGAGGAAACAGCUCAAUGGUGGUUGGUUGUACCUCCUGCAACCUUGGAACACAAGAGAAAAAAAAGAACUAGAACAAGCUACAAUGGGAGCUAGGAGCUGAAAAGUAGUCUGAAACCAGGGAGCUCAUGCUAGCGGCAAGACAACUCUCGUCUUGAUCACCAUCACAAAGUGGGCGGAACCUUGCUGCUAUAACAAAUACUUUGCCGCAUUUCUCCCGAGGGUUUCGA